rnacentral:rRNA from 1 species
UACAGAGGGGGCAAGCGUUGUUCGGAAUUACUGGGCGUAAAGGGCGCGUAGGCGGCCUUCUAAGUCGAACGUGAAAUCCCCGGGCUCAACCCGGGAACUGCGUCCGAUACUGGAAGGCUUGAAUCCGGGAGAGGGAUGCGGAAUUCCAGGUGUAGCGGUGAAAUGCGUAGAUAUCAUUUGGAACGCCAAUGGUGAAAACAGGUAGCUGGGAGUGUGCUGACGCUGAGACACGAAAGCCAGGGGAGCGAACGGG